UGGGCAUGCGGCGCAUUAGCUGGUUGGCGGGGUAACGGCCCACCAAGGCGACGAUGCGUAGGGGUUCUGAGAGGAAGGUCCCCCACACUGGUACUGAGACACGGACCAGACUCCUACGGGAGGCAGCAGUGAGGAAUAUUGGUCAAUGGGCGGGAGCCUGAACCAGCCAAGUCGCGUGAGGGAAGACGGUCCUAUGGAUUGUAAACCUCUUUAGGCGGGGAGCAAUGCCGGGCACGCGUGCCCGGAGGGAGAGUACCCGCAGAAUAAGCAUCGGCUAACUCCGUGCCAGCAGCCGCGGUAAUACGGAGGAUGCGAGCGUUAUCCGGAUUUAUUGGGUUUAAAGGGUGCGUAGGCGGAUUUUUAAGUCAGCGGUAAAAUGUCCGGGCUCAACCCGGGCCGGCCGUUGAAACUGGGGAUCUUGAGUGGGCGAGAAGUAUGCGGAAUGCGUGGUGUAGCGGUGAAAUGCAUAGAUAUCACGCAGAACUCCGAUUGCGAAGGCAGCAUACCGGCGCCCGACUGACGCUGAGGCACGAAAGCGUGGGGAUCGAACAGGAUUAGAUACCCUGGUAGUCCACGCAGUAAACGAUGAAUGCUAGUUGUCCGGUUCUUGGGACUGG
rnacentral:rRNA from 1 species